AAAGUCUUGCAGAUUCAAGCUCGGUGAAGGGUGGGGCUACAUGUAGAUAUGGGAGCAGAUUUCACAUUAUACAGUAAGGCUAUGAGUAGUCUCCCCUGUUAAAGAUCAACAAUGGUGGAUAUACAAUGCGGGAUGCUGUGUAGUACAUACUACGUACAUCAUUAACAGAGUUUUGACACCUGUAUACCUGUAUUUCUACCAAUCACCUCUGUAACCUUUGUUGUAAUCGUCAGACAGAUGAUGGACCACUCUACAUUCUUUUAUAACAGAUUCCCCUACAGAUUCACAAAGUUCCAAUGUUGAAUUUCCAUGACCCCUAUUCAUCCAUGACAGAAAAAGGAAUAAAGUUGACAGGACUUUCAUCACUGCCCUUUAACUGGUAGCAGUUUAUGUUUAGACAGCAGAAGACAUAGCCAGUUUCAUCAAAGAUGCACCAGAUGCCUUGGCACUAUCUCCAUCACUGGUGAAAUGGGAAAUGACUAGUAGACCGUCAUCACUUAAUAUUUUUAACUCACCAAUGCAUAAUUUGAGGCCAAUCUCUUCUCAUCUCCGAUGGUGGUCUCCAGAGGAAUGGUUGCAGUGCAGUCUUCGUGUCCUGGGCCUUUCCUUCUCAGGUCUGUUGCACAUGGGUGGCUGAAGCUGGUUCAAUAUUUCCACCAAGAAGCAUACCAUGCAUACCCUCUGUAGUAAUGCUGGUACCCAAGUGACCGAUAGCCAUGGCCACAUUUAGCUGUGCAGCUCUUCAUCCCCUUCCAGAUCUCCUCACCUCUUCGUAAAGCUUUUCUCAUUGACUGGUGUAGUGGCACUUCUUACAUCGGAUAAAAGGAUCCAUGCCAGGCCUCGUUUUUCCUCCUAAUGUUGGUUCCAGUCCAGUGAACUGUCACAGUCUGGAAACUUCUUUAAUUGUUCUUUAAAUGCCUGAUUCCACAAUUUAGCAGUCUUCUCUUGGUGAAGGACUUUGUAUAGUUUUGAGUUUGGGUCAUCUGACACAGCUUCCAUGUAGGAGUCUACAGGCUGGAUUUCACUUAGCCCGGGUCACAAAAUCUUCAUCUCACUGCUUCGGCUCUCGGCAGAGUCUGACAUUUAUAUAUAUUUAUACAGACAUAUAGAGACAUUUUCAUUUUCUCGUUUUGGGCAUCUUAUUUAAGGCCUACAGUAUUAAUUUUGGACUCAUGUACUAGGAAUAUAUCUUUAGCAGAAUUGUCUUUUUUAGGUCACCUGAGUCGCUCAGGUGACCUAUUGCAAUCUGUUUUUGUUCGUCGUUGUGCGUUAACAUUUGAUCAUUUUUAGCUUCUUCUCUGAAACCACUUAACCAAUUUCAACCAAAUUUGGCAUAUAGCAUAUAUGGGUGAAGGGGAAAAAAUAUGAAUUUCAUGGUCCCUGCCCCCCUGGGGCCUGAGGGGUGGGGCUAAAACCACCAAAAUUAAUGCAAUCUUUAAAA